UGCCUGCCUAUGUGUAUGAGAAUAUUCGGAACAUUUUUCUCUGGGGACAAUGGACAAGCCUUACAAAACCUUUUGAUAAACCUUUUGUCUUCCACAACUGUUAACAACAUCUGUUCUUUGUCUGAUGGUGAAACAAGGUGAACAGCUGCACUCUCACACAACACUCAUCACCGCAGACGCAGUCUGGAUUCGUGGAGGUUCAGGCAGUGUAGUCCUAAUACAGAGUGGGUGUUGACAGAGAUCACCAGCUGCCAUGAUUUGUCUCCCUUUGCUGCUUGCUCUCUGCGUUUUCACCGGAGGUGUCGCAUCUCUCCUUGAACAAACGUGUGUUCGUUUGGGUCAGAAUUGCCACCCUGAUGAAGCGUCAAGUCGCUGCUGUAGCCAUGGGAUAUGUAUUAACUUACAAUUCGAGCAAGGCAAUACAAACUACGUAUGUAUGCCCAUCCUACCUGAAUAACCAUCUCCUGGUGAUUUCAAACCACUUCGUCAGCGACAAUGAGGAUAAUGUUAUAUUCUUUGAACUUGUCAUCAUUAGUCAAUAAUGAAUAAAGUAUCUUUCAGUUGAUUACUUUUCAUG
rnacentral:lncRNA from 1 species